AAUGAAUAGGAAUGAAUGAAUUAACCUUCACCCCAUGAGGAAGAAGCACUUACUGCCACCCACCUAGGGUGUUGCAAGUGAUCUCUUCUAUUUUUUCUUGUAAGGGGAUUGACAGGCACAUUUCAAUAUUUGAGUAAGAUUUACUUGAAACUAAGCUAAUGAAUGCUAAGACUUAAGUUUGUUUCAACUUUUAUCAACUCACUUGCAUACACGGGACUGCAAGAGACUGCAUGAUAUGAGGUAAAAAAAAAAGGAAGCAACUCGUGGACUAGGGAAAUCAAAAAGGGCCAGGAACAUGUACUGGAUUUUGCUGGUUCUGGUAAGAAGAAUGAGAUAGGCUGUGUGAGGUCACUAAAACAAGCCAGGUCUGGUACCAUGAAUCCUACAGGUUCUCCACUAGAAGUUACAAUUACCAAAGCCAAAGGAAAAA